GCCGAGGUGGCGAAAUUGGCAGACGCAAGGGACUUAAAAUCCCUCGGAGUAAAAUCCGUACCGGUUCAAGUCCGGUCCUCGGCACCA
rnacentral:tRNA from 1 species